CAGCAUGUUAAUUCCGUGGAACAUUCCCUGAUUGAUUGGUCUUGGUUUGCAAUCAUCAUCCAUUUCAUAAUCCGGUUGAUUGUAGGUCAUAUUUUUGUAUGCAACUUUACUCCAUUGUAUGGCCAGGUCCUGCAACAUUACGAUCAGAUAAGAAAUUAAUGAUACAUUUCAUUGAACAUGGACAUGAGUUUGUAUAUGAGUAAAUCUGUCAUAUACACUGCACCGUUGUGCCGAAAAAAAGAUUUCAGAAUACACGGCCUGCAAUUCAGAAACUUGAAGUAAAGUCUCACUAUUAGUAUCAGAGUUACACCUUUCUAGCAUUCUCAAGAUCAUCAAAGGGCGAAUAGUUGUCGUCAAAUUUCGCUCCAACAAUUUGAUAUACAGAAUUGAAGAAAAGCAGAACACUAUAGCCUUCAAC
rnacentral:lncRNA from 1 species